rnacentral:rRNA from 1 species
GCGAUAAGCUGGAGGAAGGUGGGGAUGACGUCAAAUCAUCAUGCCCCUUAUGACCUGGGCUACAAACGUGAUACAAUGGCUGGAACAAAGGGAGGCGAAGGGGUGACCUGGAGCGAACCCAAAAUACAGUCUCAGUUCGGAUUGAAGUCUGCAACUCGACUUCAUGAAGUCGGAACCGCUAGUAAUCGCGGAUCAGAACGCCGCGGUGAAUACGUUCUCGGGUU